rnacentral:rRNA from 1 species
GGCUUCGGGCUCUUCUUGUGCAGCUUAGGUGGAAGGCAGUGACCUCUUUUUUCCGGAAAGGAGUGAGCCAUCAGUGAGAUACCACUCUGGAAGAGCUAGAAGUCUAAUGGCGAUCCUUGAAUCAGGACGCUUGACAGUUUCAGGCGGGCAGUUUUACUGGGGCGGUAGCCUCCCAAAAUGUAACGGAGGCGUGCAAAGGUUCCCUCAGGCUGGACGGAAAUCAGCUGUAGAGUGUAAAGGCGAAGGGAGCUUGACUGCAAGACCUACAAGUCGAGCAGGGACGAAAGUCGGUCUUAGUGAUCCGACGGUGCCGCGUGGAAGGGCCGUCGCUCAACGGAUAAAAGUUACUCUAGGGAUAACA